rnacentral:rRNA from 1 species
UACGUAGGGUGCGAGCGUUGUCCGGAAUUAUUGGGCGUAAAGAGCUCGUAGGCGGUGUGUCGCGUCGGUCGUGAAAACUUGGGGCUUAACCCUGAGCUUGCGGUCGAUACGGGCAUCACUGGAGUUCGGCAGGGGAGACUGGAAUUCCUGGUGUAGCGGUGAAAUGCGCAGAUAUCAGGGGGAACACCGGUGGCGAAGGCGGGUCUCUGGGCCGAUACUGACGCUGAGGAGCGAAAGCGUGGGGAGCGAACAGG